AUUGAACGCUGGCGGCAUGCCUUACACAUGCAAGUCGAACGGCAGCAUGAUCUAGGUUGCUAGAUUGAUGGCGAGUGGCGAACGGGUGAGUAAUACAUCGGAACGUGCCCUGUAGUGGGGGAUAACUAGUCGAAAGAUUAGCUAAUACCGCAUACGACCUGAGGGUGAAAGUGGGGGACCGCAAGGCCUCAUGCUAUAGGAGCGGCCGAUGUCUGAUUAGCUAGUUGGUGAGGUAAAGGCUCACCAAGGCGACGAUCAGUAGCUGGUCUGAGAGGACGAUCAGCCACACUGGGACUGAGACACGGCCCAGACUCCUACGGGAGGCAGCAGUGGGGAAUUUUGGACAAUGGGCGAAAGCCUGAUCCAGCAAUGCCGCGUGUGUGAAGAAGGCCUUCGGGUUGUAAAGCACUUUUGUCCGGAAAGAAAUGGCUCUGGUUAAUACCUGGGGUCGAUGACGGUACCGGAAGAAUAAGGACCGGCUAACUACGUG
rnacentral:rRNA from 1 species